UUGGGGCAUUGAUAGAAAAUCAUAAAUGAAAAUAAAACAAAAAUUAUGCCUAGGCCAAAAAAAUAUGUGGGUUUCCGGUUUCCCAACCCUACCUAGCUUUUGGACGUCGAAAUCCCGACCCUAAACUUUUUUAUUGGAUCAUGCUUGUGUUUCCACUUAGAGGAAAAAGUUUGUGGAAAAUUGAAAUUCGAGGGAAUAUUUGGGAAAUUUAUCUUUGGAUGUGGAAGCACCGACUAAACAAAAUGGCGUCUGGUUGUUAGGAAAAUUUAAAAAAAAAG